GCCGGGUGUGGUGGUGCACGCCUGUAAUUCCAGCUACUCGGGAGGCUGAGGCAGGAGAAUCGCUUGAGCCCGGGAGGCAGAGGUUGCAGUGAGCCGAGAUCGCACCACUGCCUGGGUGACAGAGUGAGACUCUGUCUCAA
rnacentral:SRP_RNA from 1 species